UGAAGUCGAGCGAAAAGCCCUUCGGGGUGAGUAAGCGGCGAACGGGUGAGUAAUACACAGGUACCUGCCCCUCAGUGAGGAAUACCCUCGAGAAAUCGAGGUUAAUACUGCAUACGUCCCUACGGGGAGAAAGGCGGCUUUUAUGCUGUCGCUGAAGGAUGGGCUUGUGGGCUAUCAGCUAGUUGGUGGGGUAAAGGCUCACCAAGGCUAUGACGGCUAGCCGGCCUGAGAGGGUGUACGGCCACACUGGAACUGAGACACGGUCCAGACUCCUACGGGAGGCAGCAGUGGGGAAUAUUGCGCAAUGGGCGAAAGCCUGACGCAGCGACGCCGCGUGGAGGAUGACGGUUUUCGGAUUGUAAACUCCUGUUAAGUGGGAAGAAAAGCCUGUUUUUAAUACGAUCAGGUUAUGACGGUACCACUAGAGAAAGCACCGGCUAACUUCGUGCCAGCAGCCGCGGUAAUACGAGGGGUGCAAGCGUUAUUCGGAAUAAUUGGGCGUAAAGGGUGCGUAGACGGUCUGUUAAGUCUGUUGUUAAAUUCUCCGGCUCAACCGGGGGGCUGCAAUGGAAACUGGCGGACUAGAGGGUGAGAGAGAGAAGUGGAAUUCCCGGAGUAGCGGUAAAAUGCGUAGAUCUCGGGAGGAACACCGAUGGCGAAGGCAGCUUCUUGGCUCAUUCCUGACGUUGAUGCACGAAAGCGUGGGGAGCAAACAGGAUUAGAUACCCUGGUAGUCCACGCUGUAAACGAUAAUCACUAGACGUUAGUCUGGCUUAGCUAGAUUAGUGUCGAAGCUAACGCGUUAAGUGAUCGCCUGGGGAGUACGGUCGCAAGAUUAAAACUCAAAGGAAUUGACGGGGUCCGCACAAGCGGUGGAACAUGUG
rnacentral:rRNA from 1 species